rnacentral:rRNA from 1 species
UUGGUCCUACGGAGCGCAGCAGUGAGGAAUAUUGGUCAAUGGGAGAGAUCCUGAACCAGCCAAGCCGCGUGAGGGAAGACGGCCCUAUGGGUUGUAAACCUCUUUUGUCGGAGAACAAAACCCGGGACGAGUCCCGGACUGCGUGUAUCCGAAGAAAAAGCAUCGGCUAACUCCGUGCCAGCAGCCGCAGUAAUACGGAGGAUGCGAGAGUUAUCCGGAUUUAUUGGGUUUAAAGGGUGCGUAGG